UAUAGACAGGGAGAGAGAAAGUGGAUACAACUGUUAAAGAGAGAAAGUUUGCAGUUUUGUGUUAACUUGGGAGCAGGUAGCAGAUGCAGGUGGUGUGAGUUUGUUUAUCUGCUGGCUUAAUUUGCUGCUCAGCCGAUCAUUGUUCCUGCAUGUGAGAAAUCUCGGUGAGGAAGGAGAAUUCAGAGCACGCGAGUGGAGAUUGAGCAGGGGAGAAGAGCAGUACACAAGAUCACACAGGUGCUAACUGCUAAUCGCACGUGUGCUUCAGAGAAUCAGAACGAGUGAGUUUGCUCAUUUUAUUUUCAUGGAGGGUGAUUACGCAUAAGACAUGAAAGUUUUGUUCUCAGUGUUAAAUGUAAACUUAUGUGUGGGUUCUGAACACAUUUAUUUAUGUAAAAAAUGCCUUUUCAUGUGAAUUAUCAUAUGUGUAAUGUGUUGUAUUUAGUGGAAUGUGCUGAUUGCUCAUUUACUCUGUUUUUUGUUUGUUUUAUUAGGCACAAAUAAGCCACUGCCGUUGUUUUGCACAUAUUAAAUAGUUUAUUAACGUGGUUUUGAACUACUUUAAGUCACAUGGGGAUUUUGAUCUGGAUGUUUUGAAUACUGUCAAAGAAUUUAUUCUUAUAGUUAUAUAUACAUUUAUUUUUCCUGUUGCUGACCUAUUUUUAUUUUGCCAUAAAGCCAACUUUGUUUAUUGAUUGGACCUGUUUUAAAGCUUGCUGCUUAUCUCCCAAACAAAGUAAGUUAAUGCUGUGUCUCCUUGAGGCUCAGUCCAGAAUAAAAGAAUCCAUUUUCUUA